GAUGAACGCUGGCGGCGUGCCUAAUACAUGCAAGUCGAGCGAACGGACGAGAAGCUUGCUUCUCUGAUGUUAGCGGCGGACGGGUGAGUAACACGUGGAUAACCUACCUAUAAGACUGGGAUAACUUCGGGAAACCGGAGCUAAUACCGGAUGAUAUUUUGAACCGCAUGGUUCAAAAGUGAAAGACGGUCUUGCUGUCACUUAUAGAUGGAUCCGCGCUGCAUUAGCUAGUUGGUAAGGUAACGGCUUACCAAGGCAACGAUGCAUAGCCGACCUGAGAGGGUGAUCGGCCACACUGGAACUGAGACACGGUCCAGACGCCUACGGGAGGCAGCAGUAGGGAAUCUUACGCAAUGGGCGAAAGCCUGACGGAGCAACGCCGCGUGAGUGAUGAAGGUCUUCGGAUCGUAAAACUCUGUUAUUAGGGAAGAACAUAUGUGUAAGUAACUGUGCACAUCUUGACGGUACCUAAUCAGAAAGCCACGGCUAACUACGUG
rnacentral:rRNA from 1 species